CCUUUUUCUCCUCCGCUGCUCUCUUCUUUUUUCUAUUUUGGCCAUGGCGCCGAGUGCCUGUCCCCUCACCACCGCAUUUGGAGCUCACCGUCGUUAAAGGAUCCGACCGCCUACAGCCACGAGACCUCCCUCCCCCACUGAUAUCUGUUUUUGACUGGACGUGAUGGUGCAAACCGACAACUGUGGCGAGCCGGAGGCGGGACGUGAUGGUGCAAACCGACAACUGUGGCGAGCCGGAGGCGGGGUUACCCUACGAUGCUACAAUAAUGGCGCCCGCACACUGAAUCUGAUCAAUCUGAUUUAUUUUUAGAGUUGCAUUCAUGGUGAAUCGUGCUGGAACCAAUGGUGGUCCUGAUGCAAUCCAGACGGCCCCGAGGGCGGGACCUCACUAGAGCUCAUCGGGCACGGUCACGGGGGCACGACCUCACCGGAGCUUGUCGGGCACGGCCACAACGACGACAAGGAGAGGGAGUGGAGGUGUGCACGUGGGGGAGCUUGUGAAUCCCCUUGUUUUUUUCUCGCGAGGAAGACAACACAGAUAGGGCCAAAUCCAAUGGCUAAUGAUGAAUAGAUCGGGUGGCUAGCGUAAGACCGGACCAAACGUUGGGCCGGCUCGAGUACUGCCUUUUCAUUAUUAUUAUUAUCAAAACAAUGCUGCCAUUCACUUGCUCCCUCUCGGAGAGAGAUGCACGUAGAGUGGAUGGAGCUUGUAGC